UCACUGAAGUUUUGUCUGUACUAUAUCCACAUCUGCCCCUGGCUCUGCAUGACUGGAAAUUUGGAAAUGCUGGGCUGACACCUCACAUUUCUGAAAGUUGAAGGAUCAUCUCUGCAUGCUGAAAAGGCCCUAUCUUAUUGCCUGUCCCAGGCUGGUAAAACAGCAGGCAUAUGUUAGUGAAUCUAUCUGUGGGAGGAAGGUGGAGCAAAAUGGGAAGUCUCUGCUUAUUCUUGUACAAUGAUUUGUUUCAGUUGCCAAGCUCUGUUAAACAAACUUCCAGUGUACCAAGCAG